rnacentral:tRNA from 1 species
GGGGAUUUAGCUCACUGGUAGAGUGCUUGCCUAGCAAGCGCAAGGCCCUGGGUUCAGUUCCCAGCUCCA